UUAUUAGCCAGGUGGAGAAGUAAACAACAUUAGCCUUAGACAUGAAUGUUCUUGGAUUUGUAUGCUUAAUAUGCUACUGGGAGGGUAUUUUUUCCAGUCCCUUGUUAACACAGUCUUCUACAGCUGAACAGAAGAACCCUGGAGGAUCUGUCAGCAUUACAUGCACUGGUUCUGGUUAUACGUUUUCAUCUUAUAACAUAUUCUGGAUCCGUCAAGCACCAGAAAAAGGACUGGAAUAUUUGGGUUAUGAUAGUGAUAGCAGCAGCUAUGCUAGCAGUGUGAAAGGACGCCUCACUCUGACAAGGGACACCUCCAACAGCCGAUCUUCUCUGCAGCUGACUAAUUUAAAAUCAGAAGACUCUGCCACAUAUUACUGUGCAAUAGUACACAGUGCUACAUGGAAUACAAAUGUUAAUACAAAAAUAGAUGCAGUACUUCCUUAUUUUUUAAACAGCAAUUACAAAUAUUGA